GUUUGAAUUGCAAUAAUGUAUGUGUAAAAUAGGCUGUAUUCGUCUGAUUGUUCGGUAGAAUCAUUUUAGCAAGUAUGAGUAUGAAAUUACCGAACAACCAGACCUCCCCAGUGUGAAGUGUGCCUCCAAUUACCAGUUGCAACAAUGUUGUGAACGGGUAAUUGGCAAGCUGUGCAGAAGGUCUUUGUUCUCGGGGUGGCCGCCAUUC